AUGGGCCAAAAGCUGGAGAGGCUGUCUGAAAAGGACGAGGAGUCACUCGAUCACUCGGACUGGUCGGGGCAAACCGAAGAGACCGAACAGUCGGAGACGGCACAGGACGGUGACAGCAGAGAUCGGGCCGACAGCGACCUCGCGACCCCUCGGGCUGCCGCUCGGAUUAGCGGGAUCAGUGUCAGCGGCCCGUCCACGGGGCUCACAGUUACUUCUGCACGUACAGACCCCCGAACCCGGCAGCCAAUCAGGCCUUUAGGUCAAGGGGAGCAACCCCUGAACGCCAGGGCAGAGUGGGUGGGUGGAGACAAGCGGAGCUGGAGUGGCGCUCGAACGGCCGGGGAGUCAAAAGCCGCCCUGAGCCUGAAGGAGACGAGACCGGCUCCCAACGAAAGACGAGGCUCUGUGAGUGGAGCCAUGGAGGAGCAAGGAAGUGGGAGGGAAUCGGAUCUUGGGCAAAGCGAGUUUGGUGCUGAAAUUCAAGCCGCCGGCUUAUCGUCCUCAUUCAAUCCCAGGAGCGAGGAAGACUUUGUGGUACUCGAGAAGGAUGAGACUGAUGGGGACGUUGCUCUUGGCAAGAGAAUAAAUACAGAGGAUUCACAAUCACCUGUGACAAGAACAGUUGAAGAAGACCUUCCGCCAACUUCCAGGGUCGCCCCUCGAGAAAAGGUUAGCGAGAAGAAAAGCAGGAGAAGAUCAGACCCACUUCCAGUGGCUUCUGACCGUGUGGAAGAGCGCGCUGAGAGUUCACCCGAAGCCCGUUUUGAGGGGGACACGGGUCCACAUUUGGCUGAAGUGACAGGCAGCAGGUGUCGGCUAAAAGGAGUCGGCCGUGUCGGAGCCGUCUACUCUGGGACAACUGGGAGAGGAAGCGCAGAGCGGGAGCCAAACACGAACGACGACCACAGCAGGAGGCAGGUUUCUAACACGAGCAGGGAGCACCCGUCCACCCGAAGCAACCGCGGCUCCGUGAAGGGAUCAGGAAGCGGCGGCGAGGAUUUAGAAGGCGUGCUCGAUGCAGGAACCCACGAUUCCGAAUUUGUUGCACCAAACAAACGAGCGGCAGCAGGUGAGUGCCAUCAGAGCAGGUUUGCUGGUGCCGUCUCCAUGAGGGCCAAAGGAGGCGGUUUGCGGACCAAGAAAGAGGACAGCGGAGUGUCCUGCAAAGCAGCCGGCUCUCGCCCCCCCGAAGGCCGAGUCCCCGAGCUCGGAAACCCCGCCGCCACGCGACGGCCCCUUACUCUCCUUGGAACAAUGCGACUCAAUCCCUCGUCCUCGUCCGCCGCCAGAGAAUGA
ensembl:lncRNA